GCUAGUGGCGAACGGGUGAGUAUCACGUGAGAAACCUACCCCGAAGAUGGGAAUAGCCCAAGGAAACCUGGAUUAAUACCCAAUAAUCUGCGAUCACCGCCUGGUGAACGCAGCAAACGCUCCGGCGCUUCGGGAGGGUCUCGCGGCCUAUCAGCUAGUUGGUGAGGUAAUGGCUCACCAAGGCAUCGACGGGUAGCUGGUCUGAGAGGACGAUCAGCCACACUGGGACUGAGACACGGCCCAGACUCCUACGGGAGGCAGCAGUGGGGAAUCUUGCGCAAUGGGCGAAAGCCUGACGCAGCAACGCCGCGUGGGGGAUGAAGGCUCUCGGGUCGUAAACCCCUUUCAGCAGGGACGAAAAUGACGGUACCUGCAGAAGAAGCGCCGGCCAACUACGUGCCAGCAGCCGCGGUAAUACGUAGGGCGCAAGCGUUGUCCGGAUUUAUUGGGCGUAAAGAGCUCGUAGGCGGUUUGGUAAGUCGGGUGUGAAAACUCAGGGCUCAACCCUGAGACGCCACUCGAUACUGCCAUGACUAGAGUCCGGUAGAGGAGUGUGGAAUUCCUAGUGUAGCGGUGAAAUGCGCAGAUAUUAGGAGGAACACCAACAGCGAAGGCAGCACUCUGGGCCGGUACUGACGCUGAGGAGCGAAAGCGUGGGGAGCGAACAGGAUUAGAUACCCUGGUAGUCCACGCCGUAC
rnacentral:rRNA from 1 species